rnacentral:rRNA from 1 species
GACGAACGCUGGCGGCGUGCCUAAUACAUGCAAGUAGAACGCAGUUGCGCACGGGUGAGUCACGCGUAGGUAACUUCCUCAUAGCGGGGGGUAACUCUCGGAAACUAUAGCUAAUACCGCAUACUGUGAGAUGGACCUGCGGUGUAUUAGCUAGUUGGUGAGGUAAAGGCUCACCAAGGCAACGAUACAGAGCCGAACUGAGAGGGGGAUCGGGCAAACUGGGAGUGAGGAACAGGCCAAGAUCCGUAGGGAGGCAGCAGUGGGGAAACGUCGGAAAUGGGCGGAAGUCGGACUGAGCAACUGUGCGGGAGGGAAGAAGGUUUUCGGAUCGGAAAGCGAUGUUCUUAGAGAAGCGGUACCUAACCAGAAAGGGACGGCUAACUACGUGCCAGCAGCCGCGGUAAUAC